AGAGUUUGAUCCUGGCUCAGGACGAACGCUGGCGGCGUACCUAAUACAUGCAAGUCGAGCGAAUUGAUUAGAAGCUUGCUUCUAUGACGUUAGCGGCGGACGGGUGAGUAACACGUGGGCAACCUGCCUGUAAGACUGGGAUAACUUCGGGAAACCGAAGCUAAUACCGGAUAGGAUUUUCUCCUUCAUGGGAGAUGAUUGAAAGAUGGUUUCGGCUAUCACUUACAGAUGGGCCCGCGGUGCAUUAGCUAGUUGGUGAGGUAACGGCUCACCAAGGCAACGAUGCAUAGCCGACCUGAGAGGGUGAUCGGCCACACUGGGACUGAGACACGGCCCAGACUCCUACGGGAGGCAGCAGUAGGGAAUCUUCCGCAAUGGACGAAAGUCUGACGGAGCAACGCCGCGUGAGUGAUGAAGGCUUUCGGGUCGUAAAACUCUGUUGUUAGGGAAGAACAAGUACGAGAGUAACUGCUCGUACCUUGACGGUACCUAACCAGAAAGCCACGGCUAACUACGUGCCAGCAGCCGCGGUAAUACGUAGGUGGCAAGCGUUAUCCGGAAUUAUUGGGCGUAAAGCGCGCGCAGGCGGUUUCUUAAGUCUGAUGUGAAAGCCCACGGCUCAACCGUGGAGG
rnacentral:rRNA from 1 species